rnacentral:rRNA from 1 species
AACGAACGCUGGCGGCAGGCCUAACACAUGCAAGUCGAACGGACGUAGCAAUACGUUAGUGGCGCACGGGAGAGUAACGCGUGGGAACCUACCUUUUGGUUCGGGAUAACAUCGGGAAACUGGUGCUAAUACCGGAUAAGCCCUUCGGGGGAAAGAUUUAUUGCCGAAAGAUGGGCCCGCGUUGGAUUAGCUAGUUGGUGAGGUAAUGGCUCACCAAGGCAACGAUCCAUAGCUGGUCUGAGAGGAUGAUCAGCCUCACUGGGACUGAGACACGGCCCAGACUCCUACGGGAGGCAGCAGUGGGGAAUAUUGGACAAUGGGGGAAACCCUGAUCCAGCCAUGCCGCGUGAAUGAUGAAGGCCUUCGGGUUGUAAAGUUCUUUUGGUGGGGACGAUGAUGACGGUACCCACAGAAUAAGCUCCGGCUAACUUCGUGCCAGCCGCCGCGGUAA